rnacentral:misc_RNA from 1 species
GAUGAAGAACGCAGCGAAAUGCGAUACGUAAUGUGAAUUGCAGAAUUCAGUGAAUCAUCGAGUCUUUGAACGCACAUUGCGCCCCCUGGUAUUCCGGGGGGCAUGCCUGUCCGAGCGUCAUUGCUGCCCUCAAGCACGGCUUGUGUGUUGGGCCUCCGUCCUCCUCCCGGGGGACGGGCCCGAAAGGCAGCGGCGGCACCGCGUCCGGUCCUCGAGCGUAUGGGGCUUCGUCACCCGCUCUUGUAGGCCCGGCCGGCGCUUGCCGACACAUCAAUCUUUUUUCCAGGUUGACCUCGGAUCAGGUAGGGAUACCCGCGGAACUUAAGCAUAUCAAUAAGCGGAGGA